rnacentral:rRNA from 1 species
UGCAGUCGAGCGGCAUCGAUGGGAGACUUGCUCCCUGUAGAUCGGCGGCUGACGGAUGAGUAACGAAUGGGUAACCUGCCUGUAAGACUGGGAUGAUUCCGGGAAACCGGGGCUAAUACCGGAUAACACCAACCCCCGGUGGGGGGAAGGUAGAAACGGGGCUUCCGCUAUUGAUUGCACAUGGACCCGAUUCGCUAUUUGGCGUUGGUGAGGUAACCGCUCGCCACGGCCACUAUGCGGUCUGAACCUGUGAUGGUGAUCACUGACACUGGGACUGAGACCCGACCCCUACUCCUAGCGGAGGUGGGGAUUAGGAAUCUUCGGCAAUGGACCAAAUUCUGACAGACC